UACGGAGGGUGCAAGCGUUAUCCGGAUUUACUGGGUUUAAAGGGUGUGCAGGCGGCUUAUUAAGUCAGUGGUGAAAUCUCCGAGCUCAACUCGGAAACUGCCAUUGAUACGAUUAGUCUUGAAUUUUGUUGAGGUAGGCGGAAUAUGUCAUGUAGCGGUGAAAUGCUUAGAUAUGACAUAGAACACCGAUUGCGAAGGCAGCUUGCUAAACAGAUAUUGACGCUGAGGCACGAAAGCGUGGGGAGCAAACAGG
rnacentral:rRNA from 1 species